rnacentral:rRNA from 1 species
UGUGCCUACGGGGCGCAGCAGUGGGGAAUAUUGGGCAAUGGGCGCAAGCCUGACCCAGCAACGCCGCGUGAAGGAAGAAGGCCCUCGGGUUGUAAACUUCUUUUGUCAGGGACGAAGCAAGUGACGGUACCUGACGAAUAAGCCACGGCUAACUACGUGCCAGCAGCCGCGGUAAUACGUAGGUGGAAAGCGUUAUCCGGAUUUACUGGGUGUAAAGGGCGUGUAGGCGGGGAAGCAAGUCAGAUGUGAAAGUCCAGGGCUCAACCCUGGAACUGCAUUUGAAACUGGUUUUCUUGAGUGAUGGG